rnacentral:rRNA from 1 species
UGACCCUACGGGGGGCAGCAGUGGGGAAUAUUGGGCAAUGGGCGCAAGCCUGACCCAGCAAUGCCGCGUGAAGGAAGAAGGCCCUCGGGUUGUAAACUUCUUUUAUCAGGGACGAAGGAUGUGACGGUACCUGAUGGAUAAGCUCCGGCUAACUACGUGCCAGCAGCCGCGGUAAUACGUAGGUGGCGAGCGUUAUCCGGAAUGAUUGGGCGUAAAGGGUGCGUAGGCGGCCUGCUAAGUCUGGAGUGAAAGGUACCGGCUCAACCGGUACAGGCUCUGGAAACUGGCGGGCUAG